AUUCUUCACCACCAAUACUAUCCAACCUGUGUUGAAGUGAGUGGGGGAUGGUUGUUUUCGCCAGAGAUUUCAUUUCUCCGUCGAAACAGCCAACCAGCACUCCAUAGUAAAUUCCACAUCAAAACACACCGACCCUGAUCUUUGUAUCGCCUCAAAACUAUACAACAAACAAAACAGUAACACAACUGUUGGCAACGGAUCACUCGGCUCUCGUGUCGAUGAAGAGCGUAGCGAAUUGCGAAAAGUAAUGCGAUCUGCAACCAUCGUGAAUCAUUGAAUUCUUGAACGCACCUGGCACCUUUUGGGUCUUCCAAAAGGUCAGCCUGGGUGAGUAUUGACUUGUUAAUUUCAGGUGAAAACUUGGAUGUGGGCCUAUUUGCUGCCUCGCAGUAAUGGCCUGAAAUGGAUACGCCAGUGGGAAGGUAGUGCUUAUUCUACUCAACCAGACUCUUGCGUUUGCCUCGGAUGUUUUCAAUCGGACCAUAGUCAGGUCUGUUGCUGUGCCUUGCGCGCAGGGAACAUCGGAUACGGCUGCAAUUGACUGGGGAAUUGGCCAGUGCAUCUCGCACGCUUUCCCUUGCUGUUUUCAGCUACAUUUGGCACGACGUUGGCUGCUUCCUCGGAAUCAGUCGGCAUGGUAUGCAGACCCCCGGCUUUUGCCCAACUCUUCACACCAACGACCACCUUUCAUCAUCAAUCUCACCUCAGGCUGGACUACCCGCUGAACUUAAGCAUAUCAAUAAGCGGAGGAAAAGAAACCAACAGGGAUUCCCCUAGUAACGGCGAGUGAAGCGGGAAGAGCUCAAAUUGGGAAUCGGGUCGUGCAUGUAGCCGCGGUCCCGACGUGUCAUUUGAUGAACUAUGGUUCGGCAGCGGCCUGGGUCAAAGUCCUCUGGAAAGGGGCGUCAUGGAGGGUGAUAAUCCCGUCUAUGGCCCAUGAGAGCCCGUCUGUCAUCCUGUGAGCCUGGUUCGGCGAGUCGGGUUGUUUGGGAAUGCAGCCCAAAGCGGGUGGUAAACUCCAUCUAAGGCUAAAUACUGGCGAGAGACCGAUAGCGAACAAGUACCGUGAGGGAAAGUUGAAAAGCACUCUGAAGAGAGAGUCAAACAGUACGUGAAAUUGCCAACAGGGAAACGAUGGGCGUCAGUACGCGCCUUGAGCGGGAUCAAAUGUGGGCUAUGGUGCCGGGUUUGCCAUGCUGAGCUGUCAAAAGCCAGUGGGUGGAUGUUGGCGCGGUAUACAGCAUUGUACUCUCUGCUCAUGGGCGGGUCAACAUCGGUUGGAAGCGGGUGAUACGGAUUGAGGCAAGGUGUUUGUAGUUUCGGCUGCAAAUCUUAUAGGCCUCGACUCCUAGCCUGGUUUCGACCGAGGAAACAGUCGCGGCAAGUGCUCUCUUUUGGGCGGGGUGUGUGUGAGAGUGGAGGCUGGCGGUGGGGAAACAGCCUGGCUGAUUCUCUGCUUAGCCGACACCCACUACUCCCACUCUACUACCAACUUGCCAAGGAUGUUGACGAAAUGGCGCUCAACGACCCGUCUUG
rnacentral:rRNA from 1 species